CAAAAACAUAGCUAGAUGUAAUUAUAUUUAGUGCUUCCUGCUCAAUGAUAUAUUUAAUAGCCGCAGUACCUUGACUGUGCAAAGGUAGCAUAAUCAAUUGGCUUAUAAUUGAAGUCUAGAAUGAAAGGAUAUACGGGUAGCUACUGUAUCUGAUAUUUAUUGCAAAAUUAGUUUUCAAGUGCAAAUACUUGUAAAUAAUUGUUAGACGAGAAGACCCUAGAAAUUUGUAUUAAUGUUUCGUUGGGGCAACGUAGUAGGAAAACCUACAGUAAAAGACAAGAAAAAUUUUUGAGAGAAAAAAUUACUCUAGGGAUAACAGCAUAAUUUAUAAAAGUUUGUGACCUCGAUGUUGGAUUUGGGAGCUAUAGUUCAGAAGACUUUUAGUACCGCUCUGUUCGAGCAUAAUAC
rnacentral:rRNA from 1 species